UACGUAGGGAGCAAGCGUUGUCCGGAAUCAUUGGGCGUAAAGCGCGCGUAGGCGGCCUCAUAAGUCCGUUGUGAAAGUCAAAGGCUCAACCUUUGAAAGCCGAUGGAUACUGUGAGGCUAGAGUCCGGAAGAGGCGAGUGGAAUUCCUGGUGUAGCGGUGGAAUGCGCAGAUAUCGAGGAGAACACCAAUAGCGAAGGCAGCUCGCUGGGACGGUACUGACGCUAAGGCGCGAAAAGCGUGGGGAGCGAACAGG
rnacentral:rRNA from 1 species